rnacentral:ncRNA from 1 species
ACAUUGCCAAUGACCAAACAAGUAGCGGUUGCCAAUGCUGAAAAGAGAGGGAAAGACAUAGGCUGUAAUCUUUCCUGCAGUAUGUAACAUGUGAACAACAGUUGAGAGGCGUUUCCUCGAAAAAUUUUUUCUAGUAGGGGAAGACGGAAUCGGCCGUUAUCCGAAUUCGAGAGGAUGUAGAGAUACAUCAAUUAGGGUGGAACCGCGGAAGAAUUUACAAGCUUUCGUCCCUUGC